ACACAAACUAUUUACGCAUAUUUAAACGAAUCAAAAUAUGAAACUCUAUGUGUAUAUUGUGAUAACAUGGUUGGGGCUUUUGAAUGCCCGGGAUCUGUCGGCAUACACGUGCUAUGUGUGCACGGGUACUACUCCUGACGACGACUGUGCCUUGCACAGGUCAGUGGCGUCCUCUUGGAACAUAUGUGGGUCCUGCUCGAAAAUAGACAUCAAUGGAGUUGUAUCAAGAAACUGCAAUCUUUUUGAAAAUGCCCGUGGCGACUAUUGCUACUCAUCCAAAGGCGUCACCACGUGUUCGUGCGACUCAGAUUUGUGCAACGUUGCUGGUCUUUCUACAGUUUCCGUUGGAGCGAUCGCAGUAACGUUGGCGAUCGCAAGCGUCAUGCUUUAAAACUACAUUAAACGAAACAGUUGAUUUGCGGUUUUGACAUUUAUAAAGCUUGCAUAUACAGCAAAAAGACAACAUAGAAAUGUAUUUAAAAUUUAUGAUUAUAAAAUAAAAUGUGCUAUUUGAUAUAUAUGUGUGAACUACAGAUAGACAAUCGUAUUUCCUAGAUUUAUAUGUGAGUUCAUAUUGGAAUUAGUGUCUUAUUACUUAACCUAUCCCAUGCAUUGCCUUAUCAAUCGUUUGUCUUUGGAAUUGUGGACGACUGAAACUCAGUUUAGUCUGUGUAUAACAUAUUUAUUUCGUGAGUGUCUAUGCUGUAUUAACAGGACGAAAAACAUAGUAUUGUCAUAUUUGUUUUAGAGUAUGCUUGCUUUGCGUAAGGGUCGAAGUGGUGUCAUAUUUCGAUAACUACACGUGUACAAACAUGCAUGUGGGUUAUCUCACACAUUUAAAGUCGUUCGGUUUUUAAUCAGAAUUCAUACUGCACAGGUGAAAACAUUUUGAUGAUAUAUUAAAUAUAUUGAUGAUAUAUCAAAGAACGUGUGUUGUGACUGCUCAUUGCUGGCGCAUGAAAAGACAUUCAUAUUGUGAUUCAUUUUUGUCACCUCAAAAAUCUAAACAUAAUACAUGUAUCAUUUAUCCGUGACAAUCGGAGGCUUUUGCAAGUGAGGAAGUUAGCCUGCAACAAGCCAAAGGCGCGGUUGCGCUCCUGAAUAUUCAUACAUUUUAUAAUUUCGUUAAUACUUUCCUGGUGAAAAUAGCCACCUAGAAUGACGAUAUUAAAAUAAAUUGAGAAAGAUAAGACGUCUCAUCCUUUCUAGGUGCGAACAGAUGAAAGCACACCUACCCCACACAAGCGCCCGGUCGCAACGGAUG